CAUUUCAAUUCAAUUAAGGAAAGGAAGUUGCAAUUAUCAUGGCGGAAGGUGAGAAAUCAGCGGCGGCGGUUGUCCAUGGGGAGGAGCAGAUCCCGCCGGGGAAGGCGAUGAGCGCGGAGCAGCACAUGCUGGACAAGGGAGCUCAGAUGCUGCAGGCGUUGAAGCCGGUGAAGCAGAUGAAGCAGCACGUCUGUACUUUCGCGAUUUACAGCGAUGACAUGACCCGCCAAAUCGAGACUCACCAUUACGUGACUCGGGUCAACCAGGACUUCCUCCAGUGUGCUGUUUAUGAUUCCGACGAAUCGACGGGCCGCCUCAUAGGUGUGGAGUAUAUCAUAUCUGAUCGGACUUUUGAAACUUUGUCUCCUGAAGAACAGAAGCUGUGGCAUUCCCAUGCCUAUGAGAUCAAAUCAGGGUUGUGGGUGAAUCCUAGGGUUCCAGAAAUGGUUGUGAAGCCUGAACUGGAAAGUCUUGCCAAGACAUACGGCAAGUUUUGGUGCACUUGGCAAACCGACAGAGGGCAUAGGCUGCCGAUGGGUCCGCCGGCGCUGAUGAUGUCGCCGCAAGCGGCGGAGGGGGAGAGGGGGAAGGUGAGGGAGGAGAUGGUCAAGGUAAGGGACGACAAGUACAACAUAUCGAGCGAGGCUCUGAAGAGAAGCAGGGUGGAGAUUGCGGAGCCGGAGUGGAUUAAUCCCCAAGCGGACUACUGGAAGCAGCACGGCAAGGGCUUCGCCGUCCACGUCGAGCCAGCUGAGAUGAAGAAAAUAACUGGCAUUGACUUUCCGUAGCCAGAGAUACAGAUGAGAGAUCAUCUACCUAUAGUAAUUACUCGUACAAAUUAAUAAGCAAAUCUGUGUGUAAAGCCGUCGCCGCUCUUUUGUUUUUUUUGUUUCUUACCAUGGCUGGACCUGGAUCUGGACGUGUCUUGUAUUUUGACUAUAGGUAGAGGAGUUUUGGCAAUGAACGGAACAGCAGCAGCAGCAGCAGCAGCAGCAGCAGGAGAUUUGAUUUGGAAGUUUUGGAAGUGGUUUGAUUUGGUUUUACAUUGAACAAAAAUAUAGUAAAAUAUACGUGUAUAUAUGUAUAUAUAGAGUUUUUUCUUCUUGUUUUUUCCAAGCACAGGAACUUCAAUAUAAUAUUAUUCCCUGAAUC